ACACACACACACACACACACAUAUAUAUAUAUAUAUAUAUAUAUAUAUAUAUAUAUAUAAAUCAUAAUGCACAUAUUCGAAUACCUUAAGUAGGUGUCUAUAAUAACCACCUUAAACUGGCAUUGAUAUUAGUUUAAAUGACACGUCUAAUUUUGUAGGUGACUUUAGCUAUUUGCAGGAUUGAGAAACACUUCAAAUGCGUCUUCAGCCAUAAAAUGUUCAUUUGACGAGUAAUUUGUAGUUUGUGUGUAGAAUAAUUGAAUCCCUCCUCUGGCAGGCGUGAAGGGCACUCGAGGAGCAAAACUCCUCUGUUGUUUUUCUCGUCUCCUAAAUCCUACUGAAAAUAUCAGGAACUGUAUGACUUUGAGGAAAAUCAGUUGAUAGUUACAUUUGCAUGAUUCUUUUUCCGUUUCUUUGCUCAGUGAGUUAUUGGCUUUGUUGAGUUUAAAACAAGUUACAGUAUUUUCCUCACCCGUUACAUUUGUGCACGUGUGCUAGAAAAGCCGAGGGGCUCUUAAUUGCCCUUAGUGUGAAUGUGAGAGCGAAUGGUUGUUUGUUUGCAUGUGCCCUGCGAUUGCCUGGCGACCAGUUCGGAUGUACCCCUCCUCCAGCCCGAAGAUAGCUGGGAUAGGCUCCGGCACGCCCGUGACCUCGUGAGGAGAAGGGGAACAGAAAAUGGAUGGAUUGACACCAUCAAACAGUCUAGGUGCUCCAUGGCAGUGGCCCCAUGCUGCAUCUCAUAUUGUAGGUCAGUCCUGGUACUACAGUCCUGGAGGAGACCCACGAGUGACGCAGAGAAGAGUGUGGCAGGCCGCGCCAGGUCACCGGGGUGAUGGAUGGCACCGAAGAGGCUCGGGCCCAGAGGUCGACUAAGGAACUCGGGCUUGAGGCCAAAAUCUAACUUGUGAGGGUCGACCUGCAUCUGCUGCUGGAAGACACCAAAGCCAAAACGGAAGAACACAUGUAAAACCCCUCAAUGUAUAAUAGAAAUGAUUUUAUAAACAAUCAGUGAGACGCACUAUUUUUUUAACUUCUAAGAGCUAUAUCAAAAAAAUCAGAAAAAAAAAUCAUGAAAUCAUGACAGAGGGUGGAUAUUUCAUACUGGAACUCAAGCAGCUUGGGUUCUGUUCUUCACUCAGCUUCCUCCAAACCCUUGGACCUUGAUUCCCAAAUGAAAGGCACACUUUACUUUCAUCGGAAAAGAGGACCAUGGACCACUGGCCAACAGUCCAGUCCUUCUUCUCCAUGGCCCAGUUGAGACGCUUCCUAAGUCGGCUCAGGCUCAGAAGCGGCUUGACCCGAGGAACCCGACAGUUGUAGCCCAUC